rnacentral:rRNA from 1 species
AACGUAGGGGACAAGCGUUAUCCGGAUUUACUGGGCGUAAAGCGCCCGUAGGCGGCCUGGCAAGUUGGCCGUGAAAGCUCCUGGCUUAACUGGGAGAGGCCGUUCAAAACAGUCAAGCUAGAGUCUGGAAGAGGAGAGCGGAAUUCCCGGUGUAGUGGUGGAAUGCGUAGAGAUCCGGAGGAACACCAGAGGCGAAGGCGGCCUACUGGGCUGCACCUGACGCUGAGCCGCGAAAGCCAGGGGAGCGAACGGG